rnacentral:rRNA from 1 species
GACGAACGCUGGCGGCGUGCUUAACACAUGCAAGUCGAACGGAAAGGCCCUGCUUUUGUGGGGUGCUCGAGUGGCGAACGGGUGAGUAACACGUGAGUAACCUGCCCUUGACUUUGGGAUAACUUCAGGAAACUGGGCUAAUACCGGAUAAGAGCUCCUGCUGCCUGGUGGGGGGUGGGAAGGUUCGGCGGUUGGGGGUGGACUCGCGGCUUAUCAGCUUGUUGGUGGGGUAGGGGCUUACCAAGGCUUUGACGGGUAGCCGGCCUGAGAGGGUGACCGGCCACAUUGGGACUGAGAUACGGCCCAGACUCCUACGGGAGGCAGCAGUGGGGAAUAUUGCACAAUGGGCGGAAGCCUGAUGCAGCAACGCCGCGUGCGGGAUGACGGCCUUCGGGUUGUAAACCGCUUUCGCCUGUGACGAAGCGUGAGUGACGGUAAUGGGUAAAGAAGCACCGGCUAACUACGUG